rnacentral:tRNA from 2 species
GGAGACGUGGCUGAGCGGUCGAAAGCGGCACCGUGCUAAGGUGUUAGGGGAGUAAUCCUCUCGAGGGUUCGAAUCCCUCCGUCUCCGCCA